AGGGCUAUAGCUCAAUUGGUAGAGUGCCUGCCUCACAGCAGGGCCCUGGGCUCAAUCCCCAGCACCACAA
rnacentral:tRNA from 1 species